rnacentral:rRNA from 1 species
UACGUAGGGUGCGAGCGUUGUCCGGAAUUAUUGGGCGUAAAGAGCUUGUAGGCGGUCUGUCGCGUCUGCUGUGAAAGCCCGGGGCUCAACCCCGGGUCGGCCGCGGGUACUGCCGGGCUGGAGUGCCGUAGGGGCAGGCGGAAUUCCGGGUGUAGCGGUGGAAUGCGUAGAGAUCCGGAAGAACACCGGUGGCGAAGGCGGCCUGCUGGGCGGCGACUGACGCUGAGGCGCGACAGCGUGGGGAGCAAACAGG